rnacentral:tRNA from 1 species
GGUCCGAUGGCCGAGAGGUUAGGCAAAGGUCUGCAAAACCUUUUACAGCGGUUCAAUUCCGCUUCGGACCUCAA